UACGUAGGGGGCAAGCGUUGUCCGGAAUCAUUGGGCGUAAAGCGCGCGCAGGCGGUGCGGUAAGUCUGUCGUGAAAACUCCCGGCUCAACUGGGAGGGUGCGGUGGAGACUGCCGGACUGGAGGCACUCAGAGGCCGGUGGAAUUCCCGGUGUAGUGGUGAAAUGCGUAGAGAUCGGGAGGAACACCGGUGGCGAAGGCGGCAUCCUGGACCGACAUUGACGCUGAGGCGCGAAAGCCAGGGGAGCAAACGGG
rnacentral:rRNA from 1 species